rnacentral:rRNA from 1 species
UAGGGAAUCUUCGGCAAUGGGGGGAACCCUGACCGAGCAACGCCGCGUGAGUGAAGAAGGUUUUCGGAUCGUAAAGCUCUGUUGUUAAGGAAGAACGAGUGUGAGAAUGGAAAGUUCAUACUGUGACGGUACUUAACCAGAAAGGGACGGCUAACUACGUGCCAGCAGCCGCGGUAAUACGUAGGUCCCGAGCGUUGUCCGGAUUUAUUGGGCGUAAAGCGAGCGCAGGCGGUUAGAUAAGUCUGAAGUUAAAGGCAGUGGCUCAACCAUUGUAGGCUUUGGAAACUGUUUAACUUGAGUGCAGAAGGGGAGAGUGGAAUUCCAUGUGUAGCGGUGAAAUGCGUAGAUAUAUGGAGGAACACCGGUGGCGAAAGCGGCUUUCUGGUCUGUAACUGACGCUGAGGCUCGAAAGCGUGGGGAGCGAACAGG